rnacentral:rRNA from 1 species
UACGUAGGGACCGAGCGUUGUCCGGAAUCAUUGGGCGUAAAGAGCGUGUAGGCGGCCACUUAAGUCCUGCGUGAAAUCUUGCGGCUCAACCGCAAGCGGUCGUGGGAAACUGGGUGGCUAGAGUGCGGGAGAGGAGAGUGGAAUUCCUGGUGUAGCGGUGGAAUGCGCAGAUAUCAGGAAGAACACCCGUGGCGAAGGCGGCUCUCUGGAACGCAACUGACGCUGAGACGCGAAAGCGUGGGGAGCAAACAGGAUUAG